AACGAACGCUGGCGGCGUGGAUAAGACAUGCAAGUCGAACGGGAUAACAUCUGUAGCAAUACAGGUGUUAUUUAGUGGCGAACGGGUGCGUAACACGUGGGCAAUCUGCCGAGAAGUGGGGGAUAGCUCGCCGAAAGGCGAAUUAAUACCGCAUAUGAUCAGCUAAGACAUCUUAGCGACAUCAAAGCCGGGGCAACCUGGCGCUUCUUGAUGAGCCCGCGGCCUAUCAGCUAGUUGGUGAGGUAACGGCUCACCAAGGCUAUGACGGGUAGCUGGUCUGAGAGGACGACCAGUCACACUGGAACUGAGACACGGUCCAGACACCUACGGGUGGCAGCAGUCGAGUAA
rnacentral:rRNA from 1 species